AACUCCGGUGCCUUCUACGAGCGGAGUCUGGCAUAAGUGUCUCCUGCCCCGAGUCAUUAUUUACCCAAUGUUUUUCCCGGUGCAUUGCUGUAUAGUAAUUAGGAGCAUAAUGGUCAUGCCAGCGAGGAACGUAAUAAAGGCUAAAUCACCAUCUGCUAACAUAUUAUACAGAUCAGAGAUGCUCCCGAGUUCAGAAGACUCAAGCGAAGAUGGUUCAAGCGGACGGCGAGCGCGCACAGCGGAGAGGCUCUCUUUGUGCCGCGGAGAUCAAGAAUGAGGUGUCAGCAAUGCCAUCGUCUAAGUGACGGGUAUUUCUUCCUCUCCCUCUCUCAUCUUGCACUAAUACAGAGAGGCCUUCGUUGUAAUGUGCUAAAAAAUCUAAAUAAAUCCAUAAGUAUUGCAAGGCAA